rnacentral:lncRNA from 1 species
GUGAGAAAGAAUGCUGAGAAUGUGAGUCCAGUUGCAUGCAAGUUGGUAGAUUCGAUGGUGGAAGAGAAUUUUUCUUACUUCCGUGAGUUUUUCACUGAGAGUAAAGGUGGUCUGGAGAGAAUGUGGAAUUUGAAAGAAGAACUAAAGUUUUUCUCUCUGUUAACUUGGAAGGGGGAGAAUUUUUCUGUACCCACCCUGAAGCAAUCAAACAAAAAAGAUUUUGGAGAAAAGAGAAGGGGAAGAAGAAUGAACAACUGAGAGUUUUUCAGUACUGCUGUGUGCCCUGUGUGAGCUCACUACCAUCUCUAGGAAUUGCAGCAAUGGUAUCCUUAAGGCAUGAAAGUUUAUCCUUUCACCAGAGACUACAAUUAAUAUUUCAAGGCUGAAUUAGAUCUGCUCACCUAAAAUGGAACAGAAGGCCGCAAGGAAAACAUUGUCAGGAGAAGGGUAUGUGAUCUCUGCACAAACUGGCUCCCCUUCGCCUUCCACCAAGAGUGGAAGCAGCCUGAGACACCCAGUCUUCUAACCAGCAGAUCAUGAGCCAAAUAAACCUUUUUUCUUGACAAAUAAAAGAUUGUGGAUCCUCAAUUUAUGACAUUCCUGAUUUUUCGGACAACACCAAUUUCACAUAUUAUCAUCUAUUAUGAGUAUAUGUGUCCUAAUCAUUUGAAAAACAGGCAGGUCUCACCCAACAACUGGCCAGUGCCAUGGUGCAAAGGUUCAGGCCACUUUAGAAAAUCUCUGAAGGGUCAUCUCAACUCUAAAGCUUCCCACAUGAUUUUCGGAGCUUCUGUUGCAAUUACAUUACAGUCGAACUACUAACACUCUGAGAAAGUAGGAAUUGAUGCC